GACGAACGCUGGCGGCGUGCCUAACACAUGCAAGUCGAACGGGACCCGCAAGGGUUCAGUGGCGGACGGGUGCGUAACACGUGAAGAACAUGUCUUUCGGUGGGGGAUAGCCGGCCCAACGGCCGGGUAAUACCGCAUACGCUGUUCGGGGCUCCUGCCCUGAAUCGGAAAGCAGCAAUGCGCCGAUCGAGUGCUUCGCGGCCUAUCAGCUAGUUGGUGAGGUAACGGCUCACCAAGGCGACGACGGGUAGCUGGUCUGAGAGGAUGGCCAGCCACAUUGGGACUGAGACACGGCCCAGACUCCUACGGGAGGCAGCAGUGGGGAAUAUUGCGCAAUGGGCGAAAGCCUGACGCAGCGACGCCGCGUGUGGGAUGAAGGCCUUCGGGUUGUAAACCACUGUCGCGAGGGACGAAUGCCCCGCAAGGGGAGUGACGGUACCUCGAAAGGAAGCACCGGCUAACUCUGUGCCAGCAGCCGCGGUAAUACAGAGGGUGCGAGC
rnacentral:rRNA from 1 species